UUUCGGGCAAGAAGACAGCUCCACAAGCGUCCCCAAACUGCUCAAAACAACCCUGCGAUGAAACUUUUGGCCUGCCUUCUAUUUCUCAUUUCCUGCGUCCAUUACGUUUGCGCCCUGAAACAUGUUAUCUUUAAGCACUGCCUGUCACCAAGCACAGUUCGUGGAUGCAGAGACCACGCACAAUCUUGGGGUAUUGAUUUCGUAACCCGAGUUUGCAAACUAUUCAAUAUUGAUACUUGCAAUUCAACAACCCCAACCAAGUUUGUUUCGGAAAAAUUGUGUCAACACAUGUGCCUGCCACCACCAAAGCGAAAACUCUUGUGCAGCCUCAUGCCGAAACCAGGCCCUUGCUCUCCGCGCAAUCUCACGUGGCACUUCGAUGCCCAAACCGGCUUCUGUAAACAUUUUACAGGCAUGAAAUGUGGAACCAAUGCUAACAGCUUUUCCUCCUGUCAUACGUGUACGAAGAGAUGC
rnacentral:lncRNA from 1 species